rnacentral:rRNA from 1 species
AUGUUUGUACUAUUGCUUCUAAUCAAUGGUAUGAACGAUUUAGAAAAUCACUUUGUAUUAUUGCCUCUAAUCAAUGGUAUGAAAGAUUUAGAAAAUCAACCUACACACGGACGCGGUGUUUUGGCUUUUAGGUGCAUAUGCACCCAUUGUCUAAAUACACAUUUUGAAAAGUUGAAAAAUUCGGAACAAAAAUCCUGGGGGUAUAUCGGGACAUUCUAUGUGCAUGCACAAAGUUUCGGGGAAAAACCAUGUAUUUUUGUGGCUCGUGUAAAAAAGAUAAAGAAAUGCAAAAUGAAUAGUUGUAAUGAAGCAUCAGAAAUUGUCUUUUUUACACAAGCCACAAAAAACCUCGUUUUCCACCGAAAAGUUUGUGCAUGCACAUAG